AGAGUUUGAUCCUGGCUCAGAUUGAACGCUGGCGGCAGGCCUAACACAUGCAAGUCGAGCGGUAGAGAGGUGCUUGCACCUCUUGAGAGCGGCGGACGGGUGAGUAAAGCCUAGGAAUCUGCCUGGUAGUGGGGGAUAACGCCCGGAAACGGACGCUAAUACCGCAUACGUCCUACGGGAGAAAGCAGGGGACCUUCGGGCCUUGCGCUAUCAGAUGAGCCUAGGUCGGAUUAGCUAGUUGGUGAGGUAAUGGCUCACCAAGGCGACGAUCCGUAACUGGUCUGAGAGGAUGAUCAGUCACACUGGAACUGAGACACGGUCCAGACUCCUACGGGAGGCAGCAGUGGGGAAUAUUGGACAAUGGGCGAAAGCCUGAUCCAGCCAUGCCGCGUGUGUGAAGAAGGUCUUCGGAUUGUAAAGCACUUUAAGUUGGGAGGAAGGGCAUUAACCUAAUACGUUAGUGUUUUGACGU
rnacentral:rRNA from 1 species